rnacentral:rRNA from 1 species
GGACGAAAGUCUGACGGAGCAACGCCGCGUGAGUGAUGAAGGUUUUCGGAUCGUAAAGCUCUGUUGUUAGGGAAGAACAAGUGCGAGAGUAACUGCUCGCACCUUGACGGUACCUAACCAGAAAGCCACGGCUAACUACGUGCCAGCAGCCGCGGUAAUACGUAGGUGGCAAGCGUUGUCCGGAAUUAUUGGGCGUAAAGGGCUCGCAGGCGGUUUCUUAAGUCUGAUGUGAAAGCCCCCGGCUCAACCGGGGAGGGUCAUUGGAAACUGGGAAACUUGAGUGCAGAAGAGGAGAGUGGAAUUCCACGUGUAGCGGUGAAAUGCGUAGAGAUGUGGAGGAACACCAGUGGCGAAGGCGACUCUCUGGUCUGUAACUGACGCUGAGGAGCGAAAGCGUGGGGAGCGAACAGGAUUAGAUACCCUGGUAGUCCACGCCGUAAACGAUGAGUGCUAAGUGUUAGGGGGUUUCCGCCCCUUAGUGCUGCAGCUAACGCAUUAAGCACUCCGCCUGGGGAGUACGGUCGCAAGACUGAAACU